rnacentral:rRNA from 1 species
UACGGAGGGUGCGAGCGUUGUCCGGAUUUAUUGGGUUUAAAGGGUGCGUAGGUGGCUUUAUAAGUCAGUGGUGAAAUACAGCCGCUCAACGGUUGAGGUGCCAUUGAUACUGUGGAGCUUGAAACAAGUGGAGGCUGCCGGAAUGGAUGGUGUAGCGGUGAAAUGCAUAGAUAUCAUCCAGAACACCGAUUGCGAAGGCAGGUGGCUACGUUUGAUUUGACACUGAGGCACGAAAGCAUGGGGAGCAAACAGG